rnacentral:misc_RNA from 1 species
GUUCAGUUCACCGGUGUUACAGUGAAACAAAUUCCAUUAGCAGCAACACAUGCAAGAUUCAAGUAUUUCACAAAUUCAAGAAUCAAAAGGCAUAAAUUUAGAGCAUAAACGCCUAAUUAAAGAACAAAAUUUACGGAAAAUGCCCAAAAAAGAAAAUCGAUAUGCCUUAAAUACAAUAUUAACUAUUACAAACCACCACAUAUAUAACCAAAACAAAUUAACUGAAGGAAGAACUCUCUCCCAUAGCAAGUUCACCUUUUCAUCCGCUAUUUUGCUGUGCUACUUGUAACUUGCUUAUGCGAAAAGGAGAACUACGGUUGACAUCAGAGCCAUAACAAUCACACCAUAUAAAGAAUAGGCCCACUAACAAGGAGAGGGAAAACAUGGCCGAGAUGAGAGGGGAGCGAAUGGAAAGGAAUUUGAGUGCAAUCGAAGGAAAAUAUAGCAGAGUGGAAGAGUCAAAGAAAUCUAGAGGUAAGAAAUCAAAAAGGAAUAGAGGUGGAGGUGCUUGAUGGCUUGUUGAAGAAAAAAAAUCGAAUGGAAAUAAGAGGGGAAGAGAUCCAUAGUCAACAAGGAGGAGAAGCGAUGAGUCUCACAUAGAGGGAAAAGGGCCAAGAAG